GAUGAACGCUGGCGGCGUGCCUAAUACAUGCAAGUCGAGCGAACAGAUGAGGAGCUUGCUCCUCUGACGUUAGCGGCGGACGGGUGAGUAACACGUGGAUAACAUACCUAUAAGACUGGGAUAACUUCGGGAAACCGGAGCUAAUACCGGAUAAUAUAUUGAACCGCAUGGUUCAAUAGUGAAAGACGGUUUUGCUGUCACUUAUAGAUGGAUCCGCGCCGCAUUAGCUAGUUGGUAAGGUAACGGCUUACCAAGGCAACGAUGCGUAGCCGACCUGAGAGGAUGAUCGGCCACACUGGAACUGAGACACGGUCCAGACUCCUACGGGAGGCAGCAGUAGGGAAUCUUCCGCAAUGGGCGAAAGCCUGACGGAGCAACGCCGCGUGAGUGAUGAAGGUCUUCGGAUCGUAAAACUCUGUUAUUAGGGAAGAACAAAUGUGUAAGUAACUAUGCACGUCUUGACGGUACCUAAUCAGAAAGCCACGGCUAACUACGUG
rnacentral:rRNA from 1 species